GGCACGGUGGUUUAGUGGUUAGCACGUUUGCCUCGUACCUUCGGUGUUGGGGGUUGGAAUCCCACCUCUGCCC